AUUUAAAUAGUUUAAAUUUUUUAAAAUAUUAAUUUGUGGGAUUAAAGAUGUAAAUUAAAUUUUAUUUUAAAUU
rnacentral:tRNA from 1 species